UACGGAGGGUGCAAGCGUUAAUCGGAAUUACUGGGCGUAAAGCGUGCGCAGACGGUUUGUUAAGUCUGCUGUGAAAUCCCCGAGCUCAACUUGGGAAUUGCAGUGGAUACUGGCAAGCUAGAGUAUGGUAGAGGAAGGUGGAAUUCCCGGUGUAGCAGUGAAAUGCGUAGAGAUCGGGAGGAACACCAGUGGCGAAGGCGGCCUUCUGGACCAAUACUGACGCUCAUGCACGAAAGCGUGGGGAGCAAACAGG
rnacentral:rRNA from 1 species